CAUUAUUGUGCUGAAACUUUUUACAUGAAUGUAGCAUAAAUUUGAUUUCUGAAAAUCCAGACUAAAAAUAACUGUUGAGAGAGUUAUUUUCAGAUCAAUUUGAAAUGCACUUACAUAUUACAGCUAAACUGACAUAUUAUAUGCCAAAAAAUGAUCUUCAUAACGUCUUGUCCAGCCUCAUUCAUUCAUUUUCUGGCAUCUAACCCUGAGACAAGGGAUCUAAAAAGACAGAUAGUGUAUUUUCUGGGAUCUUUGUCCAAAGCGUUAACAAUCAGAAAGGACAGAGAGCAGGAUGUAAGAGUCAAACAGGGAAAGGAGGGAAACUAAAAGUGGAACAACAGCUGUUAGAUACUAAGCAGAUUUUAAAGCAUAGUGAAUACUUCGACCAGCCUGAGACUGCAGAGAUCAGUGACAGAAGGACAAUGAGCAGUCAGAACUGGAAUCAUGAAGAAUUUCUGAGGUCCAAACUAAGCCCGUACCAUAUGAACCUGUGGGCACAGGAAAUGAACUACUAACCCUACAGGAACUGAAUGUUCUACUCUUAGGCAUUUUUUAGAAAUGACUCCAGUGUCCUCUGUCCUGAAGAGCACUGAUUUCAUCACUCCAAGGCCAAAUAAGGCACAUUUACUUUUUAAAUGCUUAUCCUUCUGUUCCCUGUAGGAAUAUUUCAAUCAAAGGUUUUUCUGGCUCUGAUAUGAAACAAUUUAUUCCUUGACGGCAAAGAGUAUAUUCAAGAGUCAUUUGUAUUUAGAAGACUUAAUACAAAAAUGACACAACAAAGUUUUGUGUUCAUACCAGUUCUGAUAGAGGAAAACGAUUAAAUAAAUUCCUAGUACAAGCGAUUUUCAUUCAGUUGAGGCUCCGGAGAAGUAGGAGCUGCUUGCCAUGUAUGAACUAAUCUAUAACUAGAAGCCUGAGGAGAAUCAACUCAAUGCCUCCAGUGACUGCUCUUUCUGCGUCAGGUGGCAACACUGUCACUAAAUUAGAAGGAAGAAGCUCCAAGAAAUCCAGCUGAGUAUGUGUGGAGAAUAUCUGUGCACUUUUGGCACCACCACCACCAAUAAUUUUUCUUUUCUUUUCCCAUUGUCUAGAUUCUUUCAGCUCAUUACAGCCACAUAAGAUGUAGAGCCAGUCAUAUAUGAAACUCAUGGUCUCAUGGUGUUAAUCUGUCCCACAGACAGAUGUCCAAAAAAGAAAGAAGAGGGCACAAAAAUGAAUAAAUAAAUAAAUAGAUAGAUAAAUAGAUAGAUUCUGGAGGAUGGUAUGAACAAGUUGUAGAUUUUAACUUGUAGGUAUUUAUAUUUCUUAAUGACUCAAACUUCAAUUUCUUUCAACUUAAAAGUUUUAAAAUCUAAUAACAUAUAUAUACACAUACAUAUAUUUGUCUGACAAUGCUGGAGAAUUUUAAAUUUGAAAGUAUUAUUACGAUAGUCUGAAAAACAGCCAUACUUUAGAGGGUUUUUUUGGACUGUUUCAGUUAAGAAAAGUAGUCAAUGAUGGGGUCAUGCAUUUAUUUGACACAGCCAUUUUCAUUCACUAAAAAUAAAGAAAGUGCUGUUUCUCUGAGAACAGGAAUAAACAAAUUACAGGAGACAAGUUCUGUGCUCAAAUCCUCAAGGGCUGUUCAGACAGGAGCUGACCUAAGCCUUCCCUUUGGGUUCCUUUCAGGACAACAUGUAUUUUGCUUUCCACUAGCUGUGUUCAUACUGUCUAGUUGACAUGAAAAGCUUCAUGAGAUUUUCUUCAAAAGUACAUAUUAGUAUAAUCAUAAGUGAGGUAUAAAGACUAAAUAAGCAGAAACCUUAUUCUAUACUUCUAUUCUUUCUGAAUGUUGUUCCUUGAAUACUGAACAGAACUGCUAUUUUUAGGCUUGUAAACACUCAGCUGCAUGUUAUCUUAUAGCUUCCUGAUCACUUACUGACAGCUUUUGAUUUACUUUACGGCUUUUUUUUUUUUAUUUUAUUUUAUGGAGUUUUAUUUGUGCAAAAAUAACAAUAAUAAUAAAAAUAAAAAUAAAAAAUAAAAAAGAACAUAAGUAAAGACAUAAAACACAAAUGAGCAAGCAGCACUCUUCAGUUUGCACAUACUGUAACCUAAAAUGUAGUGACAACAAUAAGCAAUACAUUGUCAAAGUAGGGUUUUUUUUUAUUUUUAAACCCAUUCCAGGGUGCACAAAUGGGACAUCCUAUUUAGUAAUGGUGCAUUAGCUCUCUUCAUAACAAUAAACACAAAGUGGGGCUCAGGACACAAAAUCUUUUAAUCACAUUGGAUAGCUCUAGAAGAUAAGGAAUAAAUGAACAAAACAAAAAAUACAACAAACACAUCCAUUCUGAUAACUUUUUUUUUUUUUUUUUUUUUUUUGAGCUAUUCUGUAAACAAUGAUCUGUGCCAGAUGUGCGACAGCAACAGUAUCUCCCUCCAUUCACUUAUGCGGGGAAAUAAGCUGUCAUUUGUCUCCUUUGUGGCUGAAUACUGAAGAUGCCUUACUCUUUAUUCAGCAAAUUACAUUCUUUAACAUCCCAGUGCGAAGUCCUACUGAAAAAAAAAAAAAAAAAAAAAAAGGGCAUAAAGAAGAAAGUUAUUAUCACAAAAUGAAAUUGGAAACAAUGCCUACUCUUCAUGAAAUGUUCUGUCAUAAUGAAUUCUCUUUGUCAGAAAAAUCAGGAAUUCGCACAAUGGGCAGAUAUCAGUACAUGAGAACUCUCUAUUGGUGUAUUAAUCAUUAUUUAGACUGCUUCUAAUAUGAUAUAUGAAUGCAAUCAAUCGCAUACAUUUUGUCUCAAUAUAUUCUUCAGCCUCGUGAGUUGAAGGUAAAGCCUUUUAUGCAAACCAUUAAUGUAAAUGGUUUUCAUUACCAUUUUAUUUCAUCAAUUUGGAACACUUAUCCCUUGUACCAGUGUAAGCCUUGGGCCACAAAAGUGAUUUCAUAUAUAUAUAUUUUUAAUUACUUCUUCCAUUCACAGCAUUAGGCGAUACUUCAGAAAAAAAUACAUAUAUUUUAAGAAACACAAGCUUUUCCCAUCCAUUGCACUGAAAAAAAUUACAAGGACACCUUACUAAAUGUAUGUGCUACCAAAGUACUCAAUGGAAGUACAUUCAUGUUAAAAAAAUUGACUUAUUAUGUGCACAGGAUAGCUCAACACUAACUGCAGCAUUUAUUGUAAUUUCAGAGGCACAUAAGUUUUAAGUGAAAUUUGAAAUGAAAACCUUGUGAAAUUACUCAUUUUUCUAAUUCUUUCAGCACCAACUUUAUGAUGUCUAGUACAAAUACCAUAUUAGACCAUAGCAGUAAGUGUGCAAGCUAGCAAGGAAAAAUGUAUCCUACAUUAGUCCUACUGGGACAUGACUAGUCAACUAUUUCUCUACUUUCUUUUUUAUCUUCUGAAUUGAUAUUAAUAUACAACAAUAUUUAUUAAUUUAGAAUAUAUAUAUACAAUUCAUAUGUAUAUUUAUAUUUUAUAGAAAUGAUUACAAUUCACCCUAUAUUUUAUUUGUCAGAACAAAGAGGCUAGCUAGCUAAGAAAAACAAAUCAGAAAUAAAAAUAAAAGGAAAACUACAGUGAAACACUGAGACAAGAACAAACCUGCUACCACAAAUUAAAAUUAUAAAAAGUGAGUAAUGAAGGUUUCCCAUCUGAAACCUAAUCAAUUUGCCUUCAGACAAUCAAGGGGUGCCUGUAGCUUUGGGAAUUCAUAUUCAGAAUAAAAAUACAGGCAUUUGUAAAGUGUACAAGUUAAAGCUGUCUUUGCCUGAAUGAAAUAAUGGAGAUAGUAUUUUAAACAAAGUUACCAUAAAAAUUCGUAUCAUGAGCAAAAUUACCAACUUCAACUAUUUUCAUAGCUUGUGAAGGGAUAUUUUUUUCUAUAGUAUUUAUUAUUCUGGCAUAAUAUCAAGAUACUGUGAAGGAUGGGAUUAAUCUGAGUUUAUCAGAAGAGGCCUCUUUAAUAGCCAAACAGGCACUGAUGUGUCCAGUAAUCUAUCUAGAACUAGGGCAGCAGGACAAUAACUACUUGUUCAACAGCCAUAUUUAUCUUCAAAGAUUGUAGCAAUUAACUUAAAUGUAAAUGUCCAAAUUCUUCACGCUUCAAGUUAACAGACAGGAAUUUCUCUUGGAAGGAUUCAGUUUUCAUAAGUGACCAGGGACAGUUUUGAACACAUAAGUGUGCAUAUUUGUAAAUCCUUCAUUUAUUCCUACCCAUUGUUCUGCAGUCAAUUCUGCUUUCUCACAUAAAUUGCAUAUAUCAAAAUGUCUCAUAAAUGAUAUUCAGAUAGUAUCAUCUGUGAGAUUCUGGAAGAAUCAUUAAAAUUGGAGUCUCCAGGGUCUCAUUUAGACCUUAAUAUAAUGAAAAGUAAUCUUCAUUUCUAGAUCCUCAUGCUCUGAUAAUUCCAGAAAUAUGCUGUGUCCAAGUUGUUUGUUUCUUGAACAGUAGUAUUCCAGAAUGUUUCAUAAUAUCAUCUUGAAUAAUUAUGCAAAUAUUUUACCAUCUGUAUCAGUAAUACUUCAACUAACAUUAUCUUGAAACUCUUUCAUCAUUACUGUUUAGGGUUGUUGGCAUAUAGUCAUUCAAAAAUGAACUAAAAUGAACUUUUCUCUUACUCUGAAAUUUAAAAUCAUUUCUUUCCAGUUUUCCAUUCUGCAUUUCCAAAGUAAAUUAACUAAUAAAUGCCAGACUUGGUUACAUCUUGUUCUUGUUGGAAUAAAAAUAAAUAAAUAAAAUAAACUCAAUGUACUCAAAUAAUGCAGAACUAAUUGUGUUAUAUAUGACAUUAUUUUAUAUAAUUAUAUUCUCUUCUUAGAUUACACCGUUCUCCAAACACUAGCUUAGCACUGCUUUUAUUUCUUUGAGAGAUAUACUUUUCAUUUUUGUCUGUUGUAAAGUAACUUUACUAAAAUAAGUUUGAUACUGUUGCACCCAGUAUUUAUAAAUAAGUAGUCACCAAAACCUGUAGCUGUAGAUACACACAUUUCUUCUAAUGAAUCCUUAUUCUUGUAGACUAUUCAAUAAUCUUUGAACAACGGCAUGUUUGUGACUAAGCUAUACUAAUAAAACAUCAAAUAUCUUAUCAAGAUAACUGAGCUUGUUGAGGAAAACCACAAGCCAGUAGCAGAAGACCUAAAAAAUAGAAGCAAUAGAUUAUAAAAGAAGCCCUGAAAAUAAAAACAUGGCAUUUGCACCAGUCACUAAAGAGAUGACAUCUCAUUAAUUAGAUAAAACCAGUUCUAAAGGUAAUCAGUGAAGAAAGAGCAAGUGGACGCAGGUAACAAAUAUGCAAGAAUAUUCAAGCUCAUUCCAGGUAGGGGAGAAAUCAUUGAUACAGUAACCACCAUUUUAUUUACUCUAGUGGAAAAGAUUGGUGAUUUUCCAGGAUAUUUUCCUUUUUUCUUGAAAACUAGAAAAAUCAGGUGUAGGAUGCAGAGGAGGAAAAGAAGAAUGUAAAUACCAUGGGAGAGAGGAGAUCAGUACAAAAAAAAAAAAAAAAAAAAAAAAAAAAGUGUUUCAGUUUUAACUAUUAUCGUCAUUGUCAAUUAACGAUAACAAGUGGAUGAUUUCAAAUAGUUUUAUCAGUAUUAUUCUGAUCAGACUAGUAAUAUUUAUUUGAAUAGACUCUC
ensembl:lncRNA